GUUUGUUUUGUUCAUGUGUGGAGAGGUGGUUGCAGUCAGUGAUGAUUUUACAACACGCUGUCUCCUGCUGUUUAAAAUAUUUAGGCUGGGAUGAAAUGUUUUCUAAUAAUUAGUGAUUUUUGUGUUUGUUUAUUACCUGCACGGAGUUCCGUGAAAAGGAAAGCAUCCCUUUUCUGUGUUGAAUUUCACACACAGAGCGGAGCGCGUCAGUCGCAGCUACAGACAAGUCGAGCUUUUCAAUGAGAUGAUUUACUGAGAAACAAACGCGUUGAAGCUCCAGCAGAGCUCUGCGCGAUUCUGAAAGACCAAAGUAAAGUUACUCCUUGCAAAGCAUGUUGUUUGUGUUCUUUCUUUAUCACACCAGAAGCAGUGAUGAAUAUAUUUGAAUGGGAAGGCUACAGUUAAAAAUAAAUAUUAGUAAAUAAUAUGAAAAGAGGAUUCCGCUACUCCAGUCUGAAACUCAAACCAGUGAAGAUGGACGCGUCAGUGUGUCCGUGUCGCUCUUUCAAGACGAGCUCGCCUCUACCAUCGAGCACGCAGUGAAAGCGGCUCUACACACCGUCUUGUGCGCGAUUACUAAAGUUGCCGGCAGCAAAUUCACUGAAUUCAGAGUGGAAAUGGAACAAAAAGGAGAAAGAGAAUGAAAGUCUGAAGCUGAGAUUGGAAAUAUCAGAGAACGAGCUGAAAGCUGUGCGAGGGUGUAUAAACGCUGCAGAUGCAGACAUUAAACAACCUUUAAUAUUUCAAGAUCCCAAAGAGAGCCACGCUAUCCCUGAAUCUGAAGCACAGGAGUGGCCAAAGAUAGAAGCAGCUUACACACAAGAGGAGUCCUUUGAGCAGGAGUGGUGUGCAAGUCUAAUGCAGGUUACAGAGCUGGCAUGUGUUAAAGAUGAAGAGGUCCCUCAACAGGAAUGUGUUCCUAUUAAAGAGGAAUUCAUAGAGCAGGAAUGUGUCCCCAUCGCAGAGGAACUUCCCCAUGAAAAUCAUGUCUGUACACUUGAGGAGAACAACAAGCUGGGAUCCAACCUGUGUGAUGACUCUCUAUCUGAAUGUGAACUGGGAUUUAGAGGUAAUCCUACAAAACAAGCAGCAUUGAGCUGCCUGUUCAUCCUGCAGAACCUGGUACUGAACACCAGCAGUGUGCUUGAGAUUCAUAUUUUAACCAAGGGGAGCUGCCCAGCCACUAUGUCAACAAGGACAUCACUGUGCUUGCUUCUGAGGCACCUGCUAGAUGUGCAGCCGCUGCCACGCCUCUUUAGAAUGCUGUUAGAUCAGCGGUGUCCAAUCACGGUCCUGGAGGCCAUUCCGCUCCACAUUGAACAGACUCAGUUAUAUAAAGUGAUACUCCUGUGUCUGGAUGGACACCCCUGUGUUAGAUCUUUGCCUUCCCUCAUUCCUGGUAGACUGUUUGCAGUUGUGCUGCUCCCACAGCUUUACAGAGCUGCAGGGAUCACGUGUCCCAUCACUGGGUGAUGCCAAAUCCAGUCGGGUUCCUCAGCGUCACCAGAAGAAACAUUUCAGUAGAGAGUUCCUGUGGAGAAUGUAUGCAGCAGGAUCGCCAAAAUUAGUCUUAUUUUAUUUCAUUUUUAAAAGCUCAUCUCAUGGCAACUAUCCUGAGGACUGUAAUGUUUGCUCGCAACACCACAUUUCACUUUUGUGUGUCUCACACUUCUAAAGUAGAUGAAGGAGAACACGACUCCACUCUAUCACCCCAGUGCAAAAACUCUUCUAGAGGCAAACCACAGUGCAAGAAACACAGAGAAACGACACCCCAAGAAGAGUAUGUGAAGACAUUGAGAACUCACUCAGUUAAAAUCCCUUCUUUACAGGACAGUCACCCACUUACUGUGGAGAGUACAGAGACGGCACAUUCUGUGUGUUUUAACAAUUCUGAAACCCAGGGCAACUUGAAGACCUUGCCUCAUUCUAUUGAAGGUGGGAAGAGUUCCUGUCAAUUAGACGCUCCUGAAACUCACAAGGGAAAUCCCACAGGAGGGACUACGUUUUCCUGGGCUGAUUGUGGGAAGAGUUUCAAUCAUAUAUCACUGCUUAAAAGACACCAGCGCAUUCACACAGGAGAGAAACCUUCCCACAUACAGACCAGUGAUAAGAGUUUCACACAGUUAGGAAAUCUUCAUUCACACCAGCACAUUCACAUAAGAGAGAAACCUUAUCACUGUACUGAGUGUGGGAAGAGAUUAAGUAAUUUAGGAAACCUUAAAAUCCACCAGCGCAUUCACACAGGAGAGAAACCUUAUCACUGUGCUGUUUGUGGGAAGAGAUUCAACCAGUUAGGACACCUUAAAAGACACCAUAACAUUCACAUAGGUGUGUAAUCCUAUCCCUGCACUUAGUGUGAAGAAGUGAAGUCAGUUGCAGACUCUUACAGGACUAGAGAACAUUCUCAGAAAUGCAGACACUUGGGGACAACUAAACAACAGGAGUGCAUUUGACUAAAUACAGAAAUAUUAACUGAAAACAGAAGUGGCUUGAUAAAUCUGGUCACCCCUAAUCACAAUUUGUUCAGAUCAAAAACUCACCAAAAUCUGUGUUCAUCAUGUUGUUGAGCAUUCUGAUUGUGUUACAUCACAUUAGUAAUAUAUUAAAUAGAUUGUUAUUAUGA